GCUGUGAUGCUGAUAUUAAUGUGAUUGUAAAUAUAGAAAGUGUAUACUCCAUACCAAAUUUGCAUUCAAUUAUUACAGCUUCUGAUGGGGCAAUGGUUACCAGAGGUGAUCUUGGUGCAUAACUUUUUGAGGUUCCUCCUGCAGUUGGAAUGGGGCAUGGGCUUAGCUAAAAAUCGAGAAGUAGAAGCUGAACUUAUGGAGUUAGAACUCGAGAAAGAUAGACCAUUUGCACGGUCAAGGUAAAACUGAGCACUCUUAGUUUUCAAUUUUAUUUAUACUCUUACCGGUGUGUCACUCUAAUAGCUACACGUUGAAUGGUUUAGGAAAUGAUACUCUCCAGUUUAAUGUUUAUUAUCUUCUUUAUCCUCUUUCCUUUUACAAUUGAAGAACUUUUGGACUAUUGUCUUGGCCAUACAGAUAAUUUUCCACAAAAUUUUGUUGUUUUUAUUUGUUGAGUGGUGCUACUUUUUCAAA